GACGUAGGGCGCGAGCGUUUGUCCGGAUUUAUUGGGCGUAAAGAGCUCGUAGGCGGCUCGUUGCGUCAACCGUGAAAACCCGGGGCUUAACUUCGGGCUUGCGGUUGAUACGGGUGGGCUGGAGUUCGGUAGGGGAGACUGGAAUUCCUGGUGUAGCGGUGAAAUGCGCAGAUAUCAGGAGGAACACCGGUGGCGAAGGCGGGUCUCUGGGCCGAUACUGACGCUGAGGAGCGAAAGCGUGGGGAGCGAACAGG
rnacentral:rRNA from 1 species